GGCCUGGCUGAUCUGUCCUCCUAAUCGAGCGCACGGAUUCGGUCGGGCCUUUCCUUCCUGAUGAGCCGUAAUGCCAUUAAUUUGGUGUUGCGGGGAAUUUGGACUGUUACUUUGAAAAAAUUAGAGUGUUUAAAGCAAGCUAACGCUUGAAUACAUUAGCAUGGAAUAAUGAAAUAGGACGUUCGAUCCUAUUUUGUUGGUUUCUAGGAUUGACGUA
rnacentral:rRNA from 1 species